CAUGAGGGGGCAGGUUUCUAUCAGCUUUUGACAGCUGGAAAGUUCUGACAAUUCUUUGCAAUUCUCCACAGAUUAUCUAGUGGAUUGAGGUCUAGACUUUGACUAGACCAAUCCAACACAUUACUGUGCUUCGGUAUAAACCAUUCUGCUUUAGCUCUGGCUGUAUAUUUAAGGGUCUUUUCCAGCGUCUGACAGGUUUUUGUUCAGGACUGCAUUUAUGCUGCGUUCCAGUCAUACUCUGAACUGGGAAAUUCUGACUUCCCAGUUGGAAAAAAAAUCAACUGGGAAAGUAGGACCAACUCUGACUAAGGUUGUGUACAAAAGCUUCCUGACCCAUUUUAUUUAUGACUUUGGCAACAUGUGGAUUUUAUGUCCCUUUUACCCACUCUUUUUGGUUAUUGUGUUCUAUUUUACAUAUUUAAAAUGUUUUCCUUUUCCAGUGUGAAGUUAUGCAGAAAAGGAAAGUCUGAUUCAUCUUUAAGAAGGCAAACGUGCAUUAUUAUACCAUUAUCAAAAUAUUACUUGAAAAUGGUCACAAAAUAAAAAUAUUAGCAUUUAUCGCAAUGCUGACAAUUCCAGUGAAAUUUGUUAUCGUGACAGGCCUACUCAAUUACAUGCUACUUAGUUGAUUACCUAAAAAU